ensembl:lncRNA
CUGCAUUCCAUGCACUGAAUCAGGCCCUGGAGAUGUGGAAGCUCCAUUGGAGGCCCAGCACAGUGAUGGUGGGUGCCCCUUUUGGGAUGUAAGUCCUUUUUGUUCUGUCUGGAGGAAGAAAAGGAAACAGUUGUACUGUUUCUCUGAAGGUCUGGAUUGCAGUGUGAAUCCUCCUUCAUUGCUGAUACUGAUGCUUCUGUGCAUAUCCUGAAAAAAAUAUAUAUAUGCCAGCAGUCUCUUCUUAGUGGUUUCACACAGGGGAAACUGGUCAAAGAGGAACUGCAAGGAACAUGCCUUGUUUAUUUGGAAAAAGUUGUCCUUCCCAGCACACAGGAGAACUAUCAGAGCAGAGACUAUCUGAUGCAUAGCAGGAUGGAGGAGGAUGGUGAGGAUUCUUUUUUUCUUUUUUUUUCUUUUUUUUCUUUCUUUUUUUUUUUUUUUUCCUGAACAGGCCUUAUAAAUCACCUCAAAGGGCUUGUGUCAUACUUAAUGUGCUGCUCCGGAAAUGCAGCUUUGAUUGCAAAAGAUUUGUAUCCUCUCCCAAACACAAAAGAUAGCCCAAUGGCACCUGAUGGUGGGGAUGAGUAGGCUGUUGGACUAGAUGAUCUCAGGGGUCUUUUCCAAUCUUAAUGAUUCUACGGCACUGCUGUAAGGGAGGGCUUGUAGUUUCCCUAGCAGAAGUUAGUUUGGGCUAACUGCAGCAAUCUCAUUGAAUGUGGGUUUGAAAGCAGAGCUGUGGGAAACUGUGAUGUGUUUGUCAGUUUCCUCUGGAGAAGAGGAGGCUCAGGGGAGACCUUAUAGCUCUCUACAGCUCCAUGAAAGGAGGUUGCAGAGGGGUGGGGAUCGACCUCUUCUCCCAGGUAACAGUGAUAGGAUGAGAGCUGAUGGCCUCAAGUUGCACCAGGAGAAGUUCAGAUAUUUGUGACCCAAGUCAGUAGCCACAGGACUCAGCAGUCACAAGAAAGGAAGGAAGAGGUGACGAUUUCCAGGAAAGUAAAUGACCAGCUCUACCUGGUAAUGCUUCUAAAAGCUGCACUUGUUCUGCUGCAGGAUCUGGUCAAGGCCAAUUGGCAGAGGAGAACAGUGUCAUCUAGCAGAAGUCUUUCUGUGCCCCUCUGGAACUGCAGUUAUGCUCCCAAGAAGUGCCAGGUAGGCCAGUUAAUGAAGUGCAGAUGGUCUUUUGUGAGGUUCAGAAGCAUCACAGCUCAAUAAAUAAUGUGUUUUAGCUAGAAGCCUAGUGUAAAUGGCCAACUUCUCACAAGACAACAAAGGGAGAGGACAGAACAGAACGUCUUUCUCUGUAGACAGAGAAAGAGAAGGGGGUUUUUGGUGAAAGAGUGUCUUUUUGCCCUGCAGGAUCUAACCAACUUGUCUACCCCUUGCCAUUACAAGGUUUCACUCCCCCAUCCAUAGGAGCUACAUACACGGCCUCAUUACAUCUUCCUUCUCCCGCUCUCUCCACUGUCUCCCAAGAAGCAGACAGCAAGCAAACGCCCUCUUCACCCUCCCCCUCCCCUGAGCUGCAUGGCACAGCCACUUGUCAGCUGCGUUUUUCUCCAGCAAAACAUGUAGUCCUCAGCCUGUGAUGUUUCCUGAGGGUUGUGGAGGCAGCAGUCACAGCCGCAUGCCAGAAUGCUCAAAAGGUCAAAAAAGACAUAGAGGGCUGGCCAGGGCAGACAUAGUCUGAGUGAGUAUGCUUGCCCAGAAGUGAUGUGGAUUGAGGUGCCCUGGAAAGUGUAUGCAUAAACCAGGCAAACCAAAAUCCUUCUUUUAGGAGACAGAGGUGGAUAGAAAAGCCAUUUGUG